AUGUCUCCAGUCACGUUAUCAUUUCGUAAGACAUGGGUAGCUGUGAUCUUGGCUAAGUUGUUAAAUCGAUGUCACUUGUGACUUUUUUGAGGCCAACGUGACUUUGAGAAACAUUGAUUAGCUGUGAAAACAAACAUUUGUUUGGCUUACCCAAAUGAUGGUGACCUAUUCAAUAGAAUAUUUCUAUUAAUAUUCUGGAUUCUUUGAAUUCCAAAGUACUGUGUAAUCUAAAAGAACUACAGUAUGUACAUACACACAAAUGUCUUAUCUGAGAUGACUUUUACUGUUUUAAAUCAUUAACUAAAAAACCUGUUAUUUACCUCUUAUGAAAAUCUAUAUAACAACUUUUGUCUUCAAAAGUCCAAUGAACUUAUAUUUUCCUUAAUUUCAACUUAACUUAAUCCAUAAGUCUGUGUACUGAAUGACAAUAUUCAAAUAGGCAUGCUAAACUUUCUGAAAAUUUUCACCUUGCACAUAUUUCGUGACAGUAAAUAUCUAUCACAUUUGACGUUUGGAAUAUUGCUUGCUCCACCUCUUUUUCUUCAGAGAUGUCGAUGUGGCUGUAAUGAGUAUGCAACAAAAUGUCAUAUGCACGAUUUUGGUACAACAUCGAAUGCUAUCAGAUCCUUGCAGUAUCGACUAGUUUGCGGCCAACCUAACACGGCUGUGUUUACUUACGUUUAAUAGAUGCAUAGUAUGCUUUCUUAAUUAUUAUAAAUAUAUAUUUCUUCUGUACAAUUAACAAAAACAUUUUAUUACAUCAGCUUAAAUAUACAUUUAAUGCUAAUAACAUUAACACAUUGAUAAUUAGUUCCAUAAAAAUCAUUUAUGAAUAUAAAAACGCAUGAUAAAGAUUUAAUGCAUUUCGGGACUGUCAAAUAUCAAUUGUUCUUAUCAAAAACUGAAUGUUUAAAAGACCUAAUGCUAGUGAGACUGUAGUGCAUGGAAUUUUGAAUUUUUUGUGGCAGUGGAAUAAUCUUAAAAUAAAUCCGCUCGAUCGUUGAUUAGAGAAUUUUCUGAAAUUUUGAAUAUGCCUUGUUUUAAUUACUUGGAAUUUAUUAAUAUUUACAUAAUUAACUAAUUGUAUACUUAUUGUUAAUCAGAUUAAAAGUUGUAAAUUCAUACGUUUCUUGAAUUUGAAUUUUUUUGUGCUACUUCAAGAAAAAGAUUACCGGAGCUUCCCAAUUUAUUUAAAGUAAACUCGACUUUAAAAAUUUUUGAGCAAAAAAAAAAUAACAAUAAUUUUUUUACAGAAAAUCGCC
rnacentral:lncRNA from 1 species